GUAGAUGUCAGAUUAGUUCCAGAUGUUGGUCUUACUGUAGAUGCCAGACUAGUUCCAGAUGUUGGACUUUUGGUAGAUGUCAGAUUAGUUCCGGAUGUUGGACCUUCUGUAGAUGUCAGACUAGUUCCAGAUGUUGGACCUGCUGUAGAUGUCAGAUUAGUUCCAGAUGUUGGACCUGCUGUAGAUGUCAGACUAGUUCCAGGUGUUGGACCUGCUGUAGAUGUCAGACUAGUUCCAGGUGUUGGACCUGCUGUAGAUGUCAGACUAGUUCCAGAUGUUGGGCUUGCUGUAGAUGUCAGAC